rnacentral:rRNA from 1 species
GACGAACGCUGGCGGCGUGCCUAAUACAUGCAAGUCGAGCGCAGGAAGCCGUCUGAACCCUUCGGGGGGACGACGGUGGAAUGAGCGGCGGACGGGUGAGUAACACGUAAAGAACCUGCCCAUAGGUCUGGGAUAACCACGAGAAAUCGGGGCUAAUACCGGAUGUGUCAUCGGACCGCAUGGUCCGUUGAUGAAAGGCGCUCCGGCGUCGCCCAUGGAUGGCUUUGCGGUGCAUUAGCUAGUUGGUGGGGUAACGGCCCACCAAGGCGACGAUGCAUAGCCGACCUGAGAGGGUGAUCGGCCACACUGGGACUGAGACACGGCCCAGACUCCUACGGGAGGCAGCAGUAGGGAAUCUUCCACAAUGGACGAAAGUCUGAUGGAGCAACGCCGCGUGAACGAUGAAGGCUUUCGGGUCGUAAAGUUCUGUUGUAAGGGAAGAACAAGUGCCGCAGGCAAUGGCGGCACCUUGACGGUACCUUGCGAGAAAGCCACGGCUAACUACGUGCCAGCCGCCGCCGUAAGAC